rnacentral:rRNA from 1 species
AUUCGCCCUUAGAGUUUGAUCCUGGCGCAGGACGAACGCUGGCGGCGUGCCUAACACAUGCAAGUCGAGCGGGGAUUUGGGAGCUUGCUUCCGGAUCCUAGCGGCGGACGGGUGAGUAACGCGUGAGCAACCUGCCUUUCACAGGGGGAUAACGCAUCGAAAGAUGUGCUAAUACCGCGUAAGACCACGGCACCGCAUGGUGCAGGGGUCAAAGGAGCAAUCCGGUGAGAGAUGGGCUCGCGUCCGAUUAGCUAGUUGGUGAGAUAACAGCCCACCAAGGCGACGAUCGGUAGCCGACCUGAGAGGGUGAUCGGCCACAUUGGAACUGAGAUACGGUCCAGACUCCUACGGGAGGCAGCAGUGGGGAAUAUUGGGCAAUGGGCGAAAGCCUGACCCAGCAACGCCGCGUGAGGGAAGAAGGGUUUCGGCUCGUAAACCUCUGUCCUAUGGGACGAAUAAGAUGACGGUACCAUAGGAGGAAGCCCCGGCUAACUACGUGCCAGCAGCCGCGGUAAUACGUAGGGGGCGAGCGUUGUCCGGAAUGAUUGGGCGUAAAGGGCGCGUAGGCGGCUUGCUAAGUCUGGAGUGAAAGUCCUGCUUUCAAGGUGGGAAUUGCUUUGGAUACUGGUAGGCUGGAGUGCAGGAGAGGAAAGCGGAAUUACCGGUGUAGCGGUGAAAUGCGUAGAGAUCGGUAGGAACACCAGUGGCGAAGGCGGCUUCCUGGACUGAAACUGACGCUGAGGCGCGAAAGCGUGGGGAGCAAACAGGAUUAGAUACCCUGGUAGUCCACGCGGUAAACGAUGAA